rnacentral:rRNA from 1 species
GACGAACGCUGGCGGCGUGCUUAACACAUGCAAGUCGAACGAAGUGGCGAACGGGUGAGUAACGCGUAAUCAACCUGCCCUUCAGAGGGGGACAACAGUUGGAAACGACUGCUAAUACCGCAUACGGAAGGAGGGGAUUGCGUCUGGUUAGCUAGUUGGAGGGGUAACGGCCCACCAAGGCGAUGAUCAGUAGCCUGUCUGGGAAGGAGAACAGCCAAAUUGGGACUGAGGAACGGCCCAGACUCCUACGGGAGGCAGCAGUGGGGAAACUUCCGCAAUGGAGGAAAGUCUGGCGGCGCAACUGCGCGUGAGUGAGGACGGCCUUCGGGUUGUAAAGCUCUUUUAAUCGGGACGCGGUACCGGAAUAGAAAGCAACGGCUAACUACGUGCCAGCAGCCGCGGUAAUAC